rnacentral:rRNA from 1 species
UACGUGGGGUGCAAGCAUUGUCCGGAUUUAUUGGGCGUAAAGAGCUCGUAGGCGGCUUGUCACGUCGGGUGUGAAAACUCGGGGCUCAACCCCGAGCCUGCACUCGAUACGGGCUAGCUAGAGUGUUGCAGGGGAGACUGGAAUUCCUGGUGUAGCGGUGAAAUGCGCAGAUAUCAGGAGGAACACCGGUGGCGAAGGCGGGUCUCUGGGCAACUACUGACGCUGAGGAGCGAAAGCGUGGGGAGCGAACAGG